rnacentral:tRNA from 1 species
GUGCCCAUGGUGUAGCGGUAGCACAGAGGCUUGUGGAGCCUUUAGCUCGGGUUCAAUCCCCGAUGGGCACCCCA